rnacentral:rRNA from 1 species
UACGUAGGGUGCAAGCGUUAUCGGAAUUACUGGGCGUAAAGCGUGCGCAGGCGGUUCUAUAAGACAGAUGUGAAAUCCCCGGGCUCAACCUGGGAACUGCAUUUGUGACUGUAGAGCUGGAGUACGGUAGAGGGGGAUGGAAUUCCGCGUGUAGCAGUGAAAUGCGUAGAUAUGCGGAGGAACACCGAUGGCGAAAGCAGCGUGCUGGACCUUUUCUGACGCUGAGGCGCGAAAGCCAGGGGAGCAAACGGG